GUGAGGGGGUGACUAGUGGCAGAGUGAGGGAAGGAAGGGGUGACUAGUGACAGAGUGAGGGAGGUGGUGACUGUCACUAGUCACCACCUCCCUCACUCUGUCACUACUCCCCCCUCCUUCUGUCACUAGUCACCCCCUCCGUCCCUUACUCUGUCACUAGUCACCCCUUCCCUCCCUCUCUCUUUCACUAGUCACACCCUCCCUCAC